rnacentral:rRNA from 1 species
UACGUAGGGACCAAGCGUUGUCCGGAAUCAUUGGGCGUAAAGAGCGUGUAGGCGGCUUGUUAAGUCUUGCGUGAAAUCUCGGGGCUCAACCCCGAGCGGUCGUGAGAAACUGGCAGGCUAGAGUGCGGGAGAGGAGAGUGGAAUUCCUGGUGUAGCGGUGAAAUGCGCAGAUAUCAGGAAGAACACCCGUGGCGAAGGCGGCUCACUGGCCCGAUACUGACGCUGAUGCACGAAAGCGUGGGGAGCAAACAGG